rnacentral:lncRNA from 1 species
UCCAACAAAAUCACUACAACAGAAUUAGAUUAUAGGGACACAUGUUUGGGACACUUUUGAGUAAGUGUCUCAUUUAUACUAAAAUUUAAAAAAAUAUCUACUAAUGCCUAAAUAUAAAGCUCAAUCCAAUAAAAAAUAAAAGAUUACUCUACUCAACCCACCACACUCAGUCUAUUUGGCCCGAUUACAAACUGAAAAAAAAAAAAAAGAAAAAUCAAUUACCAUCUAUAACCACGAAGCGUCCAACAAAAUCAACAUUAACAACUCCAGAGUCCACAACUAAACACAAA